AUUGAACGCUAGCGGGAUGCUUUACACAUGCAAGUCGAACGGAGUGUCGAACGGGUGAGUAAUGUAUCGGAACGUGCCCAGUAGCGGGGGAUAACUACGCGAAAGCGUAGCUAAUACCGCAUACUAUUGGAGCGGCCGAUAUCGGAUUAGCUAGUUGGUGCGGUAACGGAUCACCAAGUCGCCGCUCCGUAGCCGGUGUUAGAGGAUGACCAGCCACACUGGGACGGAGACACGGCCCAGACUCCUACGGGAGGCAGCAGUGGGGAAUUUUGGACAAUGGGGGCAACCCUGAUCCAGCCAUCCCGCGUGUGCGAUGAAGGCCGUCGGGUUGUAAAGCACUUUUGGCAGGAAAGCGGUACCUGCAGAAUAAGCACCGGCUAACUACGUGCCAGCCGCCGCGGUAAUUC
rnacentral:rRNA from 1 species